CUGCCUCAUCAAUCAUAUCACGCCACGUGGCAGUUAUUAAACCCGUUGUCCACUCGAGCGUGUAUGACUCUCUCCGUACUAACCUUCCUGGAGAGUUUAUGGGAUACAGAGACUUCCCGUUUGUGAUCCGACCGGGAGAAUCCAGAGACCCGAGGAGAUGAUCCGGUUCGAGACAGAGAUUGUGCGGGUUGCUCCGGCGGCGGAAACCCACUGUGAAGGAGGAGCCUUUUAAAUGAAAGAGAACAAAGUAUGUCAUGAUGAAAUUUACGAUGAUGUUGUUGUCGGUAACGGACAUUACACAAAGCCAUGUCGCGCUGAAGUUCCUGUAAUGCCGAGGCUGAACUACGUGAUUAUGGUGACCGCGCAGAUGGAUAGUGCCAGAUGAGCCAAAGGACCACAUGUGGGUAGUCACAUGGGGACCGUGAGAGUGGAUAGUGCCGGUAGAUCCUAUAUUAUCGACCCUUUCUUUUGCAGAUACUUACGAGGAACACCGUAGGAUAGGAGUCAUGGAUGGUGCUACACAUUUGGUUUUUAUUUUCAAAAACUUUUAGUUAAGUUAUGUAAGACUAUGGUUUUAUUCUAUUCAGUUUUCAUUUGAAUUCAAGGAUGUUUGUAAAACUUUUCAUUUGAAGUAAAGGAAAUAUUGAACUGAAA